rnacentral:lncRNA from 1 species
AGCCCCCCAAAUUUUUGUCUUGACAGGAGUCAAAGUGGAGCUUGGAAGGACUUGAUUUCUGAACCAGACUCAUUAAGGAAUACACUCAUAAAUUCUCUGUGGACGUCUCAGGCCAAGCACACCUCCGAUGCAGUGCAUGGCUUGGAAUCCCUUCUGUUCACCAAACCAUUCCUUCAGCGCUCACCUCCUCCAGUGCCCUGCUCAUGACAAAGCCUCAGAGUUGCCUCUGAUGGCAAGAAGUGCUGCGACAAGGAGAGAGGAAGCUGAUUCUUCUGACUACAACCUCUGCAGUACCCCGGGAGUGACUCCUCCUGCUUCCCUUGCCCAUGCACCCCAGUUUGGCACACCCUGGAACAGUUCCCACCUUUUGUGGCAGACCUUGCUUUCCUGAUCUGUGAGCUAUUCAAAUUUUCCAGUGAUUUAAUUGAUCUCACCAGCUGUCCCGCCAGCCUGCAGGACCUGCCUCCCUGGCUGUCCGCGUAGAAAACAGGACCUUUUUGCCUCCCCGGCUGCGGCUUCCGAGUGGGGUCUCAGGAGCCUGUGAUCAGCCCCGACAGCUGCCCAGUCCUGAGGCCCGGCGUCCUAUGACCUGCCUAAAGUACUUGCUAGUAGGCUACACACCGCCCACCCCCGCCAACACACCCCCCAACAUACACACACAUCCCACAGGAGUGCGGGCGGAAGCCGCGGGAAGCCCGACGGCUGUAGCUUU